UUCUUAUUGGCUAAUCUGGAGCAAACCUGCAUAUCCAUUGGCUGAAAGCUCCGUCUAUUUUAGGGUGACUGAGAGCGUCUCUUCCUUCUGUGUUGCCUGGAAACGGACUGUUCGCCUAGUAACAUCUGAUCACGUUUCCCAUUGGUCACCGUUUCCGGAAGCCCGCUCUCCCGUUUCCGGAAUCCCCGCAGGCGCUGGGUCUGCAGAUGGCGUCCAGGUACACAGUGGCGAGUGUGAUUCCGCAGUCUUGGGCUGUUUGGCCAAGCGCCCGCCGGACAUGGUACGCCGAAGGGUCAUCGGCGUGGAGUCCUCGCUUUCAGCGUCCGCGGCUGGGAAAUCGGCCAUCGCUACGGCGGGAACUGGGACUCGGGCUGCGUCCCGGCCCUUCCACAUCGGUCCACCGCACUCGUGGGCGCCCGCAUUGGUGCUGACAUAAUUUCCUGACCUCUGACCCGUAUUGUCUCGCGAUUAAAGAGCUGCGCCUGGAUCCCUCAGCAGUGAGGAGACCUGAAGACCAGAGGAAACACAGCAAGUAGGCCCUUUAAACCACUCACCUGUGUUGUCUUCCAAUUUAUUCUGUUUUAUUUUGUUUCCAUCAUUUUAAGGGGUUAAAAUCAUCUUGUUCAGACCUCAGCAUAUAAAAUGACCCAUCUGUAGACCUCAGGCUCCAACCAUACCCCAAGAGUUGUCUGGUUUUGUUUAAAUUACUGCCAGGUUUCAACUGCAGAUAUCCCUGGAAGGAAUAUUCCAGAUUCCCUGAGUAGUUUCCAGGUUAAAGUCUUAUAGGCUUCUUCUGUUUUGAGGAGGAGUUCCUGUCAGAGAAAAG
rnacentral:lncRNA from 1 species